GAUGAACGCUGGCGGUGUGCCUAAUACAUGCAAGUCGAGCGAACAGAUAAUGUUCUUGCUCCUUUGACGUUAGCGGCGGACGGGUGAGUAACACGUGGGUAACCUACCUAUAAGACUGGGAUAACUUCGCGAAACCGGGGCUAAUACCUGAUAAUAUUUCUCACCGCUUGGUUCGAUAGUUAAAGAUGGUUUUGCUAUCACUUAUAGAUGGACCCGCGCCGUAUUAGCUAUUUGGGAAGGUAACGUCUUACCAAGGCGACGAUACGUAGCCGACCUGAGAGGGUGAGCGGACACACUGGAACUGAGACACGGUACAGACUACUACGGGAGGCAGCAGAAGGGAAUCUAACGCAAGGGGAGAAAGCAUGACGGAGAAAAGCCAAGUGAGGGAUAAAGGUAUUGGGAUAGUAAAACUCUGUUAUUAGGGAAGAACAAACGUGUAAGUAACGGGGCACGCCUUGAAGGUACCUAAUCAGAAAGCAACGGCUAACUACGUG
rnacentral:rRNA from 1 species